rnacentral:lncRNA from 1 species
UGGGCUUCAGUGAAGCAUGCAGCACAACAGGAGUUAGCAGACCACAAAGAGCAUGUCUGGACCUAGAACCACAGCAUGUAACCUCGGAAGCAGUGAGACACCAGCCAGCAUGGACAAGCAGCAGGCACUUGCUCUAUACCAGAUAUGCUGCAUGAUAGAACGCUAUGCCCUCUCACAGAUAGGUCCCACCUCCAGCCUUCCCCUGCUGCCAUCUAACAUCCUAAACUCCAGCUCUGAAUGUCUGUCUCCUGCUCUGAAUCUUCAGUGACUUCGAAACUCAAGUCAGGACACCUCUCAGUUUGGCCUCACUGCUCAAGAUUGAGCUGAAUUCAUGACCAUAAUUCAAGCAUUCAGAUUCAUGGGCUGUUUUGUGGGUUUUGCUAUCUCUUAUUUUGUUUUUGCACAUCUUACCCACUGAAACGUUGGGCUGCAAAAAGUUUGAUCACUAAAUAUGUAGGCAAUGCUGGAUACUGGGCUGUUAUUUACAUAUUUGUAUCACCUUUUAUUUCAUAAGAUAGCAUUGUCAGAGUAAUUUAGUAUUUCAACAUAAUCAACAAGUAAAAUAAAAUUAAUGAGAAUGA